rnacentral:rRNA from 1 species
GAUGAACGCUGGCGGCGUGCCUAAUACAUGCAAGUCGAGCGAACAGACGAGGAGCUUGCUCCUCUGACGUUAGCGGCGGACGGGUGAGUAACACGUGGAUAACCUACCUAUAAGACUGGGAUAACUUCGGGAAACCGGAGCUAAUACCGGAUAAUAUAUUGAACCGCAUGGUUCAAUAGUGAAAGACGGUUUUGCUGUCACUUAUAGAUGGAUCCGCGCCGCAUUAGCUAGUUGGUAAGGUAACGGCUUACCAAGGCAACGAUGCGUAGCCGACCAGAGGGUGAUCGGCCACACUGAACUGAGACACGGUCCAGACUCCUACGGGAGGCAGCAGUAGGGAAUCUUCCGCAAUGGGCGAAAGCUUGACGGAGCAACGCCGCGUGAGUGAUGAAGGUCUUCGGAUCGUAAAACUCUGUUAUUAGGGAAGAACAAAUGUGUAAGUAACUAUGCACGUCUUGACGGUACCUAAUCAGAAAGCCACGGCUAACUACGUG